GGGGCUGUUUAUGGUUUCGACAGAUAUAAAAAAGCUUAAUUCGGCAAGUCGGAGGUACACGUCACGUACAAACAGAAAAUAACUGGAAAAAAUAAAUUAACUAACAUACUUAGUAGAUUAAGUAGCGCUUUCGCUACUCCUACUUUUGCCUAAUAUAAGUGCGAGUACGGCUCUUUUUAUUCUUUCUCCUAUUGGGAAUUUAUAAGGGCUCGAUAAAAAUAGGAUAUAUUAUUAUUUAGCUUGGAAAUAAUAAUGAAUGAUACAAGCUUACUUAUAAAAUAGACGUUCACAUCUAAUUUUUAUAAGGACAUCAUUUGUGAACUAAACUUGUAGAUGGUUAGGGAGUUUUAUAUUUGGACAGGAGUUCGACUCUCCUCAGCUCCACCA
rnacentral:tmRNA from 1 species